rnacentral:lncRNA from 1 species
ACAGAGUAGGGUACUUGCGAUGGAGACCAAAUGGCCCCCAGCCUGAAAUACUGGCUGCCUGGCCCUUUGCAGAAGUCGAUUGCUGACUCCCGCGUCAAACUUAUGGCAGAACUGGAAUGACUUCAACCCUGUAAAGAUCUGUUAAAUCCUUAUGGAAGAAAGUAAGUGGAAAGCCUAGUCGAGUCUACGUGGCCUCAGUGAAGUUGGACAGUGGGUCACAUGAUCCAAGGAGAGUGAAAACGUGUGCUGUUCAUUGCGAUGCUUCCUUUCAUGAUGCUCACCAUCCAGACACUAAGAAACACACCUGGAGCCCUUCUGCUGGCUAUGAUGGGCACGCUCUCCAUCCACUCUCAUGUCUUACAGCCACUGGCCACAUGUGGCUACUGAGCUGUGAAGACGAGGCUGAUGUGACUGAGGAACUAAAUUUUGAACUGAAAUCACUUUUAGUUAAUUGAAAUUUAAACAGCCACAAGUGGCUAAUUGCCACUUUUUUAACCUAUGUGGCUCUAGAAGAUACUUAGAUCUGCUUCUCCGAUGUUUUAGUUACUAUAGCCUAAAUAUAAUAUUAAAAAAAAAAAACAAAAAACAAAACCGCAAUGACUGUCAAUGCAGUUGUUGCCAGAUAAGUGCUAGGGCUUAACUGUCCCCACCAAUGCUUCCUUCAGGAUUCUUUUAGCCCUUCUCUUCAAUUAGAUACAGCUCUGGCCUCUAAUCAAGACUACUGGACCAAAAGCCACAGUUGCCAGAGUCAAGAGAUCCCUUCAGCCUCAAUGUGAGGCUGUCUUCCAACACAGCAAAGGAAUAAAUUCAGUAGUAACAUUGAAAAUUUUCAAAUAAAGGUAUUUU